CCGAGCACAAUACACGCGCGCCCACCUUCGAGAAGUUGGCAGCCGCGGUUUUAUCCGCCAGGAGAGGGACCAGUUUACGCUGAAUCAAAUUGCUCUCCUAAGGUGGAAUUAGGAGCGACAUCAAUGCCAUAUACAUCUGCCUGCUCCUUGUGUCCACCACAACAUUGUUUUGCGACAGAAAAAGCACCAUUGCAGAAGAAGAUAACGGUGACAAUGAUGAAGUAUGGCGACCAUCUCCUUAGCUAGGCAUGGUGACCUCUCAGUUGAUGCCACAGCAACUGUGAUAUGCAGUCAUAUAGUUGAGAACGAAAAUCAUGGCAAACGGAAAGAAAAGCUCAACAAAGAAACCUCGCAGAAACGAAUACUACCCGUACGACCAGGGGUACGACCGUGGAUAUAGCCACCAGCAACCCGAAAACUACACGUACAAUAAUGGGUAUUGGUACGAGGAGUACAACCAGCAACCAAACUACCCGUACAAUAAUGAGUACCACGAGGAGUACCACCAUUAUCAGCAGGACGAGGGCGAGGCAGAGAGGACUCGCCCCAGGACUGCCGCCAGUGCCGCCUCAGCCCCACUGGCUAUUGAGGUCCCUUCGGCGCCCUCUGUAAUCGUAGCUGGCUGGAAAGAAGCAGCAGAAUAAGAGUCACUCCUCCAGUCCUGUCGAGCAAUUUGGCAGCUUUUGCUGAGCCAAACUAUUUUUUUUCAAAUUGUUUUAUUUGUACUUCGUCGUACUGUUUUAUUUACGUCUUUGAAAAGCUUAAUUAAUAAUUAAUUACUAAAUUAAUAAUGACUCUUUAUUUGAUCUGUUGUUAUUUUGGCGACCGGACUCGGUCAAAGGCCAAAGAACUCCCGAUCACGCCUCAAGAGCGUAGGGAGGCUAGUCGAGCGAAAUUAUGAAAAUUUUGAGAACAGCUGGAUUCCAAGCUCAUACUGCCGUGCUAAGGAAGAACGCCGUAUGAACAUUCGAGAGUUGCCAAAUUUCCCCGAAUAAAACAUUUAUUUUUGAAGAAAGUUAUGCAUAUUUGUCCUUGAAAUUUUCAGACUUUUUAGAUAAAGUUACGAACAAUAUCCUCUUAGAAAUUGGAGAAAAAAUAUUAUCAAAUCUUCCUGAAAACUCGUG
rnacentral:lncRNA from 1 species